GACAGUUGCCGUGCUGUCUUAGUCAGAGGUAAGUGGGCUUGCACACUCCUUGGUGUGCUGGUGUGUAUGGGUCGGUGUUAAUCCGCUGUGGGGUCGUGCAUCAUCCCGGCAACAUAUGGUGAGGGUGGAUGCUGAAGCGGACCAAUUAGUCUCAGGAUCCAAAUGUUGGCCCUCAGCUCCUGCAGCUCUCGUCACACAGCCAGCUCACCUACAUCUCUGCACGGGAGGAAUUGGCCUGAUUAAUUCCUCUUUGACUGACAGCCUGGAGAGGCGGCGGCGGCGGGUCGGCAGAUGGCUGCUUCAGGGUCAAAGAAAAUCACACGCAAACAUGUUGAUUGCAAGACAAGCUGAAAUACAGUGAGGAUGUGUUGGGUUCAGAGAUCACGGCUGCCGGGUGAAAACAAAUUGUUAUAAUACCUGCUGGAGGUCAUUUUCACAAAUUUACAAGAUGAGUAGCUCAUGCCCUGGAUCUGUCCGAGCAACUUUUCUGCUUCAUCAUGGGUGACUGAAUGAAGACGUCUCAUUGUCCCUGAAGUGGUUGGAGGAAUGGAAAGAUUUUGUUUUUGACCAUAUAUGUGAUAUUUUAUGUUUAUGUUUGUUGGGACAAAAUCUGCAAAUUAGCAUAGGCUAUAAAUAUAAAAGUGUUCUGUGUCAACAGACUAUAAACCAAUAAAUAAAACUAGCUUGAUCUGUAAAACUUUAACAAACAAACUUUAAUAAAACUUCUGGUGGAAAUAAUCUAUAAAA